GAUGAAGAACGUAGCGAAAUGCAAUAAGUAAUGUGAAUUGCAGAAUUCAGUGAAUCAUCGAAUCUUUGAACGCACAUUGCGCCCGCCAGUAUUCUGGCGGGCAUGCCUGUUCGAGCGUCAUUUCAACCCUCAAGCCCAGCUUGGUGUUGGGGAUCGGCACAGGCGCCCUCGGGCGCCCGCCGUCCCCUAAAUCUAGUGGCGGUCCCGCUGCAGCCUCCUCUGCGUAGUAGUUUUCUCCUCGCAAGGGCAGCUCGGUGGCGACCUCGCCGUAAAACCCCCAACUUCUGAAAGGUUGACCUCGAAUCAGGUAGGAAUACCCGCUGAACUUAAGCAUAUCAAUAAGCGGAGGA
rnacentral:misc_RNA from 1 species